rnacentral:tRNA from 1 species
CAGCUCCCGGCCCGGGCAUCCGGGGCCCGGCCGAUCCCGGGCCGGGCCGGGGCCGGUCCGCUCCGGGGCCGGCUGUCCAAGCCCCGCCGGGGCUGA